GAUGAAGAACGUAGCGAAAUGCGAUAAGUAAUGUGAAUUGCAGAAUUCAGUGAAUCAUCGAAUCUUUGAACUCACAUUGCGCCCGCCAGUAUUCUGGCGGGCAUGCCUGUCUGAGCGUCAUUUCAACCCUCAUGCCCCUAGGGCGUGGUGUUGGGGAUCGGCCAAAGCCCGCAAGGGACGGCCGGCCCCUAAAUCUAGUGGCGGACCCGUCGUGGCCUCCCCUGCGAAGUAGUGAUAUUCCGCAUAGGAGAAGCGACGAGCCCCUGCCGUUAAACCCCCAACUUUCUCAGGUUGACCUCAGAUCAGGUAGGAAUACCCGCUGAACUUAAGCAUAUCAAUAAGCGGAGGA
rnacentral:misc_RNA from 1 species